rnacentral:tRNA from 1 species
GGGCAAUAGAUGUCAAAUUGGGUCAAAAGUCCUUAUUUAUCAACAAACAAUCAUGGGCAACCAAAUUCACAAAAAAGCCUUGAAAUCAUUAUAUACGCUGCAAUCGCACUGCAGAGGUCGACGGUUCGAUCCCGUUCAGCCCACCA